rnacentral:lncRNA from 1 species
UGCAUCUGCAUCAUAUGCAUCGGAGUCGAUGCCAUCAUCACCGUCAUCAUCUCCCUCUUCAACAUAGUAUUCGUCCUCGUUUGUCUCUUCUGAAUCUGCCUUUGCUUCCACCUUUGUCAUCUGUGAAGAUCUAGUGGCCCUACAAGGAUCGGCUGAUGUCCCUGAGGCAUCUACGACUAUGUCCCAUGUCAAUCCUUCGCCUUUUGCCCUCAUCAUCAUCAACCAACCACUUUAUAGCAUUAUCCAUAUUUUUUUAUAUGCAUAUAUUUUGAUCUGAAGGCGUCUCUUUUAUCUCUCUUAGCAAACAUGUCCCUCAAAAUCGAUUAUACUUGACAUAGGCUAGGUCAUUGAGCCUCGUUGAUUCAAGUUUGUUACUUUUUUUGUAUGAAUCUAACAAAAACUAAUUAAUGUAAAUAAUUGAAGGGAGAAGUUUAUAUAUAGUUGCAUCUUUAUGUCAAUAGCUAAGGAUGCAGCCUUAUAUACCGUCCAAUAUUUUGAACGGUUCAGAUUUCACAUUUGAAUGUGGUACGCGAUUACUUCCAACUGGAAGCAACCCGUUACCCUUCCAGUUGUGUCUCUCUCUCUCCACGGUACACCACACACUCUCUCUCAUCAAAACCAUGGUGGUUUUGCAGUGCAUGGUUCUUUCGUAUAAGCCUUGAUCAUUAAUAUAAACUGUGAAAAGUGUAAACUUUUUCAGAUGAAAGCUCCUUAGUGGUUUUUAAAAGCCGUUUUUUUGGUGGUUUUUUAGGCUCCCUUUCUCUCUGAUUCCAGGUACCCUGUUCAAAGAAAACACCUUACCUUUUCUAAUCUCUUUACAAAGUCCACGGCGGUUUUGCAUAAGCCCCAUUUGUAUAGAAAUAAUAAAAAAAGACCCAUCGUUUUGUGGUUUCUGGUUUGGGCUCUGGGUUUUCCAAUACCUAUUGGGAAAAUCACUGGCGGUUUUGGAGGUCCCUAUCAGUUCACGGACUUGGCUUAUUAUAAAGAAUACCAGGAGAGUUCAGAAUCCAUAAUGGUUUUCAUAAAGAAUACCAGGCCUUUUCUCUGGUUCAUGACCAAUGGGGCAUCAAUAACACUCAAGACAUUUCUUUGUAACAUCCCCUCCAUGCCAUUGGCAAGAACAAGCCAAAUCCAUCCACCAAGACCAACUGGAUUUUUCACCGCACCUUGAAGACCCACAACACAUAUUAGGUACGAUUGUUAUCGGUGACCACCACCUUGGUGUCUCGGUAGAUCAGAGCGCUCCUCUUCUUCACUGGUUUCUUCCUCCUCAAAUUCACAGGCCUCGCCAUUAGAGCCCCUCUCCAACCCUUCUUCAACCAUUGCAGAAUGCAUGCUAAAACCACUGAAAUUCAACGAAAUUGCUGAGAAAAUUAAGCCACAAUGGCGGAAGAGUGCAGCAAAAAAAAUUGAGCACUCCGCACCUUUUCCCCCUUUCUCUCACCAUAUACUCGUUCUCUCUCUAGACUUUCUCUCUCUACAUCUUUUCUUUGUUACUUUGUAAUCUAAAAAAGAGAUGGAUACGGAUCCGAGAGAAAAUACAUAUCAAGCCUUUUCUCUCUCUACCAAAGCCCAGCCGCUCCACUUUUUCUCUCUCUAGUUAAUGGGUAGAGGGAAGGAAACUGGGGCACCGGUCUUCCCCUUGGUCUUAGUAUGCAAUCUCCUUUAUUGAAAUGCUUGAAUGGUGGAGAUUGUUUCAACCUUACAUCUACAGCUACAGAUGCAUCCGUAUGCCAACCGCACCUAUAAUUAAAUAUAUAAAAGUAAUACUACAAAACUAAUAACUAUCCAAGUAUUAAAUUAUCAAUACAAAUUACCAUAUUUAAAGUCCUCCCAUUCCGC